GAACGCUGGCGGCAUGCCUUACACAUGCAAGUCGAACGGCAGCACGGGUGCUUGCACCUGGUGGCGAGUGGCGAACGGGUGAGUAAUACAUCGGAACGUACCUUAUCGUGGGGGAUAACGCAGCGAAAGCUGUGCUAAUACCGCAUACGCCCUGAGGGGGAAAGCGGGGGACCGUAAGGCCUCGCGCGAUUAGAACGGCCGAUAUCUGAUUAGCUUGUUGGUGGGGUAAAAGCCCACCAAGGCGACGAUCAGUAGCUGGUCUGAGAGGACGAUCAGCCACACUGGGACUGAGACACGGCCCAGACUCCUACGGGAGGCAGCAGUGGGGAAUUUUGGACAAUGGGGGCAACCCUGAUCCAGCAAUGCCGCGUGAGUGAAGAAGGCCUUCGGGUUGUAAAGCUCUUUUGCCAGGGAAGAAACAGCAGCUCUAACACAGUCUGCGAAUGACGGUACCUGAAGAAUAAGCACCGGCUAACUACGUG
rnacentral:rRNA from 1 species